rnacentral:rRNA from 1 species
AAAGGUCACGGCGAGACGAGCCGUUUAUCAUUUUGAUAGGUGUCAAGUGGAAGUACAGUGAUGUAUGCAGCUGAGGCAUCCUAACAGACCAAUAGACUUGAAC